rnacentral:rRNA from 1 species
UCCGUAGGUGAACCUGCGGAAGGAUCAUUAGUGAUUCGGUCGAAAGACCUUUUCAAACCUCUGUGAACUGUGGCCUCCGGGCCUAUUUUUAUAAAACAAUGUCUAAUGAACGUUAUAUUACUUUAACAAACAAAACUUUCAACAACGGAUCUCUUGGCUCUCGCAUCGAUGAAGAACGCAGCGAAAUGCGAUAAGUAAUGUGAAUUGCAGAAUUCAGUGAAUCAUCGAAUCUUUGAACGCACCUUGCGCCUUUUGGUAUUCCGAAAGGCAUGCCUGUUUGAGUGUCAUGAAACUUUCAACCUCUUGGUUUUCUAAUCGAGUGGAUUGGACUUGGGCGUCUGCCAGCAAUGGCUCGCCUCAAAAGUGUUAGUGGAGUUCAAUAACCAUCUAGCAGACGUAAUAAGUUUCGUCUGUGAAAGGCUGUUGCCCGCUUAUAACAACCCAUAUUUUGUGCUCUGACCUCAAAUCAGGUAGGACUACCCGCUGAACUUAAGCAUAUCAAUAAGCGGAGGA